CCUACGGGUGGCAGCAGUGGGGAAUAUUGCACAAUGGGCGCAAGCCUGAUGCAGCCAUGCCGCGUGUGUGAAGAAGGCCUUCGGGUUGUAAAGCACUUUCAGCGGGGAGGAAGGCGUUAAGGUUAAUAACCUUGGCGAUUGACGUUACCCGCAGAAGAAGCACCGGCUAACUCCGUGCCAGCAGCCGCGGUAAUACGGAGGGUGCAAGCGUUAAUCGGAAUUACUGGGCGUAAAGCGCACGCAGGCGGUCUGUCAAGUCGGAUGUGAAAUCCCCGGGCUCAACCUGGGAACUGCAUUCGAAACUGGCAGGCUAGAGUCUUGUAGAGGGGGGUAGAAUUCCAGGUGUAGCGGUGAAAUGCAUAGAGAUCUGGAGGAAUACCGGUGGCGAAGGCGGCCCCCUGGACAAAGACUGACGCUCAGGUGCGAAAGCGUGGGGAGCAAACAGGAUUAGAUACCCCAGUAGUC
rnacentral:rRNA from 1 species